rnacentral:rRNA from 1 species
AUGAACGCUAGCUACAGGCUUAACACAUGCAAGUCGAGGGGCAGCAUGGUCUUAGCUUGCUAAGGCCGAUGGCGACCGGCGCACGGGUGAGUAACACGUAUCCAACCUGCCGUCUACUCUUGGACAGCCUUCUGAAAGGAAGAUUAAUACAAGAUGGCAUCAUGAGUCCGCAUGUUCACAUGAUUAAAGGUAUUCCGGUAGACGAUGGGGAUGCGUUCCAUUAGAUAGUAGGCGGGGUAACGGCCCACCUAGUCUUCGAUGGAUAGGGGUUCUGAGAGGAAGGUCCCCCACAUUGGAACUGAGACACGGUCCAAACUCCUACGGGAGGCAGCAGUGAGGAAUAUUGGUCAAUGGGCGAGAGCCUGAACCAGCCAAGUAGCGUGAAGGAUGACUACCCUAUGGGUUGUAAACUUCUUUUAUAAAGGAAUAAAGUCGGGUAUGGAUACCCGUUUGCAUGUACUUUAUGAAUAAGGAUCGGCUAACUCCGUGCCAGCAGCCGCGGUAAUACGGAGGAUCCGAGCGUUAUCCGGAUUUAUUGGGUUUAAAGGGAGCGUAGAUGGAUGUUUAAGUCAGUUGUGAAAGUUUGCGGCUCAACCGUAAAAUUGCAGUUGAUACUGGAUAUCUUGAGUGCAGUUGAGGCAGGCGGAAUUCGUGGUGUAGCGGUGAAAUGCUUAGAUAUCACGAAGAACUCCGAUUGCGAAGGCAGCCUGCUAAGCUGCAACUGACAUUGAGGCUCGAAAGUGUGGGUAUCAAACAGGAUUAGAUACCCUGGUAGUCCACACGGUAAACGAUGAAUACUCGCUGUUUGCGAUAUACUGCAAGCGGCCAAGCGAAAGCGUUAAGUAUUCCACCUGGGGAGUACGCCGGCAACGGUGAAACUCAAAGGAAUUGACGGGGGCCCGCACAAGCGGAGGAACAUGUGGUUUAAUUCGAUGAUACGCGAGGAACCUUACCCGGGCUUAAAUUGCAGAUGAAUUACGGUGAAAGCCGUAAGCCGCAAGGCAUCUGUGAAGGUGCUGCAUGGUUGUCGUCAGCUCGUGCCGUGAGGUGUCGGCUUAAGUGCCAUAACGAGCGCAACCCUUGUUGUCAGUUACUAACAGGUUCCGCUGAGGACUCUGACAAGACUGCCAUCGUAAGAUGUGAGGAAGGUGGGGAUGACGUCAAAUCAGCACGGCCCUUACGUCCGGGGCUACACACGUGUUACAAUGGGGGGUACAGAGGGCCGCUACCACGCGAGUGGAUGCCAAUCCCCAAAACCUCUCUCAGUUCGGACUGGAGUCUGCAACCCGACUCCACGAAGCUGGAUUCGCUAGUAAUCGCGCAUCAGCCACGGCGCGGUGAAUACGUUCCCGGGCCUUGUACACACCGCCCGUCAAGCCAUGGGAGCCGGGGGUACCUGAAGUGCGUAACCGCGAGGAGCGCCCUAGGGUAAAACUGGUGACUGGGGCU